UACAGAGGUCUCAAGCGUUGUUCGGAUUCAUUGGGCGUAAAGGGUGCGUAGGCGGCGCGGUGAAGUCGGGUGUGAAAUCUCGGGGCGUUAACUCCGAAAACUGCAUUCGAUACUGCCGUGCUUGAGGACUGGAGAGGAGACUGGAAUUUACGGUGUAGCGGUGAAAUGCGUAGAUAUCGUAAGGAAGACCAGUGGCGAAGGCGGGUCUCUGGACAGUUCCUGACGCUGAGGCACGAAGGCCAGGGGAGCAAACGGG
rnacentral:rRNA from 1 species